rnacentral:lncRNA from 10 species
CCAGGAGACUGUGCUGCAGGGCACUGGUGCAAGGGAGGAGCCGCCAUCAAGGACCCCACCGACGGGGCACGAGGGCUCCUCUGCCCGCCUGGGCACUACUGCCUCAAGGGUACCUCAUUCCCGGAGGGCCCCUUGCCUCUCUCCUAGCCUUCUGCUGGCUUGGGGCUCUGAGCCCUGCUUCCCACACAGGCACAGUGGGCACCAAACGCUUGCUCUGGGACGCCUCCCCACUGCUCACCAGCCCCACCCUCCCAUCCUCAAAACCUCCCCACAUCGGAGCCCCAGGAAACCUUUGUUUGAAAAGGUUUUCCCAGUACCCGCUGUCCCUCCUUUCCCACUCCUGCCUCAGCCAAUUCCCACUGAGAAGAGGCCUUUCCAGGCCUGGUUAUUCCUCUGCAUCUGGGGUCCUCACCAACUGGAUGGCAAGCGGCCUGCAGCCUUUUGUUUCCCUGAACCAACCCUGCUGAGUCAGGCACAGGUUUCUGUCCAUUCACCCACUCAGCUUUCAUUCCAGUGGGUGAAGUUGACCCAAAAACUCUGGAGCUGAACCAGACCCUCCCGCUGGACCUGAGAGGGACGUUUCUCUUCUUGCCUGGCGGGAGGGCCCUGGCAGGGAGGAGUUGGCAGACCACCUGGCCUCUGCCCUCACCUCCCUGCCUCCUGCAGGGGCGCCCAUCCCAUCCCGAUGCCCCCCUGGCACCUGGUCUGAGGAGGGGAAUGGAGCCCCCGAAGGAUGCCGGGACUGCGCUGGAGGAGAGCUCUGCUCUGGGAGCCACCCGCCCCUCCGGCCCACAGCCUGCCACCCAGGCAUUUCCUGCAUGGGGGGAACUGUCCCUGCCAGUCCCAUGGAGGGACUCUCUGGGAGAUUCUGCCGCCCUGGACACGUCUGUCCUUUGGGAAUGGCUGGCCCCACUCCAUGUCCUCCUGGCUCCUACACUUCCGGCGCCCAUACCAUGGAAUGUCACAUCUGUCCUGGUGGCCACUACUGUGUUCCAGGGCUGAGGCCACGGCUGUGUCCGAGAGGGUUCUACUGCCCUGCAGGGACAGGGCUGGAUUGGCAGCCCUGCUCCCCAGGCACCUAUGGCCCCACAGCCGGGCUAAGCAGCCUGCCAGGGUGCCAAGCCUGUGACGGGGGCAGAUUCUGCCCUGGAGCCAAUGCUACGGAGGCCAGCGGGCAGUGCUGGGAGGGCUGCUUCUGCUCCAGAGGGUCAACAAGGCCCAACCCGGAGGCCGGCACUGAAGGUACCACACCCUCCUGCAGAUACUGAGCCCCUCCCCCAUUUCCUGAGGCCCCAUUACCGAGAGAUGGGGGACAGGUUCAGGAACCCCACCCACUCUCUGGUCAACCCAGAGAGACUGUGGAGUCUGUUCUCUCGGAGACCCCUGGGGUUCCUCGCAUGCUCCCAGGCUUCCUUGCGUGGCAGGCAGGACACCGUGGCCUGGCAAUGAGCAGUGCUUUGGCUUUUGUCUCCUCCACCCACUGACCAUCCUGGGGGAGCCCCCAUGUUGCAUACAGGGUCUGGCCCAAAGCAGCUCACUUAGGGAUCAUGGUGUAGCGGUU